rnacentral:rRNA from 1 species
AACGAACGCUGGCGGCAUGCCUAACACAUGCAAGUCGAACGAGACCUUCGGGUCUAGUGGCGCACGGGUGCGUAACGCGUGGGAACCUGCCCUUAGGUUCGGAAUAACUCACCGAAAGGGGUGCUAAUACCGGAUAAUGUCUUCGGACCAAAGAUUUAUCGCCUUUGGAUGGGCCCGCGUUGGAUUAGCUAGUUGGUAGGGUAAAGGCCUACCAAGGCGACGAUCCAUAGCUGGUCUGAGAGGAUGAUCAGCCACACUGGGACUGAGACACGGCCCAGACUCCUACGGGAGGCAGCAGUGGGGAAUAUUGGACAAUGGGCGAAAGCCUGAUCCAGCAAUGCCGCGUGAGUGAUGAAGGCCUUAGGGUUGUAAAGCUCUUUUACCCGGGAUGAUAAUGACAGUACCGGGAGAAUAAGCUCCGGCUAACUCCGUG